rnacentral:rRNA from 1 species
AAACCAGCACCUCAAGUGGUCAGGAGGGUUAUUGGGCCUAAAGCAUCCGUAGCCUGCUUUGUAAGUUUUCGGUUAAAUCCAUAUGCUCAACAUAUGGGCUGCCGGGAAUACUGCACAGCUAGGGAGUGGGAGAGGUAGACGGUACUCGGGAGGAAGUGGUAAAAUGCUUUGAUCUCUCGAUGACCACCUGUGGCGAAGGCGGUCUACCAGAACACGUCCGACGGUGAGGGAUGAAAGCUGGGGGAGCAAACAGGAUUAGAAACCCCGGUAGUCC